CCAGACUCCUACGGGAGGCAGCAGUAGGGAAUCUUCGGCAAUGGGGGGAACCCUGACCGAGCAACGCCGCGUGAGUGAAGAAGGUUUUCGGAUCGUAAAGCUCUGUUGUAAGAGAAGAACGGGUGUGAGAGUGGAAAGUUCACACUGUGACGGUAUCUUACCAGAAAGGGACGGCUAACUACGUGCCAGCAGCCGCGGUAAUACGUAGGUCCCGAGCGUUGUCCGGAUUUAUUGGGCGUAAAGCGAGCGCAGGCGGUUAGAUAAGUCUGAAGUUAAAGGCUGUGGCUUAACCAUAGUACGCUUUGGAAACUGUUUAACUUGAGUGCAGAAGGGGAGAGUGGAAUUCCAUGUGUAGCGGUGAAAUGCGUAGAUAUAUGGAGGAACACCGGUGGCGAAAGCGGCUCUCUGGUCUGUAACUGACGCUGAGGCUCGAAAGCGUGGGGAGCGAACAGGAUUAGAUACCCUGGUAGUCCACGCCGUAAACGAUGAGUGCUAGGUGUUGGAUCCUUUCCGGGAUUCAGUGCCGCAGCUAACGCAUUAAGCACUCCGCCUGGGGAGUACGACCGCAAGGUUGAAACUCAAAGGAAUUGACGGGGGCCCGCACAAG
rnacentral:rRNA from 1 species